UGGCUCAGGAUGAACGCUGGCGGCGUGCCUAAUACAUGCAAGUCGAGCGAACGGACGAGAAGCUUGCUUCUCUGAUGUUAGCGGCGGACGGGUGAGUAACACGUGGAUAACCUACCUAUAAGACUGGGAUAACUUCGGGAAACCGGAGCUAAUACCGGAUAAUAUUUUGAACCGCAUGGUUCAAAAGUGAAAGACGGUCUUGCUGUCACUUAUAGAUGGAUCCGCGCUGCAUUAGCUAGUUGGUAAGGUAACGGCUUACCAAGGCAACGAUGCAUAGCCGACCUGAGAGGGUGAUCGGCCACACUGGAACUGAGACACGGUCCAGACUCCUACGGGAGGCAGCAGUAGGGAAUCUUCCGCAAUGGGCGAAAGCCUGACGGAGCAACGCCGCGUGAGUGAUGAAGGUCUUCGGAUCGUAAAACUCUGUUAUUAGGGAAGAACAUAUGUGUAAGUAACUGUGCACAUCUUGACGGUACCUAAUCAGAAAGCCACGGCUAACUACGUGCCAGCAGCCGCGGUAAUACGUAGGUGGCAAGCGUUAUCCGGAAUUAUUGGGCGUAAAGCGCGCGUAGGCGGUUUUUUAAGUCUGAUGUGAAAGCCCACGGCUCAACCGUGGAGGGUCAUUGGAAACUGGAAAACUUGAGUGCAGAAGAGGAAAGUGGAAUUCCAUGUGUAGCGGUGAAAUGCGCAGAGAUAUGGAGGAACACCAGUGGCGAAGGCGACUUUCUGGUCUGUAACUGACGCUGAUGUGCGAAAGCGUGGGGAUCAAACAGGAUUAGAUACCCUGGUAGUCCACGCCGUAAACGAUGAGUGCUAAGUGUUAGGGGGUUUCCGCCCCUUAGUGCUGCAGCUAACGCAUUAAGCACUCCGCCUGGGGAGUACGACCGCAAGGUUGAAACUCAAAGGAAUUGACGGGGACCCGCACAAGCGGUGGAGCAUGUGGUUUAAUUCGAAGCAACGCGAAGAACCUUACCAAAUCUUGACAUCCUUUGACAACUCUAGAGAUAGAGCUUUCCCCUUCGGGGGACAAAGUGACAGGUGGUGCAUGGUUGUCGUCAGCUCGUGUCGUGAGAUGUUGGGUUAAGUCCCGCAACGAGCGCAACCCUUAAGCUUAGUUGCCAUCAUUAAGUUGGGCACUCUAAGUUGACUGCCGGUGACAAACCGGAGGAAGGUGGGGAUGACGUCAAAUCAUCAUGCCCCUUAUGAUUUGGGCUACACACGUGCUACAAUGGACAAUACAAAGGGCAGCGAAACCGCGAGGUCAAGCAAAUCCCAUAAAGUUGUUCUCAGUUCGGAUUGUAGUCUGCAACUCGACUACAUGAAGCUGGAAUCGCUAGUAAUCGUAGAUCAGCAUGCUACGGUGAAUACGUUCCCGGGUCUUGUACACACCGCCCGUCACACCACGAGAGUUUGUAACACCCGAAGCCGGUGGAGUAACCUUUUAGGAGCUAGCCGUCGAAG
rnacentral:rRNA from 1 species